UUAUCUACAUUCAAUAGCGGAGGAAAAGAAACCACCAGGGAUUGCCUCAGUAACGGCGAGUGAAGCGGCAACAGCUCAAAUUUGAAAUCUGACUUCGGUCCCGAGUUGUAAUUUGUAGAGGAAGUCUCGGGUGCGAUACCGGUCUAAGUUCCUUGGAACAGGACGUCAUAGAGGGUGAGAAUCCCGUAUGCGACUGGUGGUCAACCCCAUGUGAGGCCCCUUCGACGAGUCGAGUUGUUUGGGAAUGCAGCUCAAAAUGGGUGGUAAAUUUCAUCUAAAGGCUAAAUACCGGCCAGAGACCGAUAGCGCACAAGUAGAGUGAUCGAAAGAUGAAAAGCACUUUGGAAAGAGAGUUAAAAAGUACGUGAAAUUGUUGAAAGGGAAGCGCUUGCAACCAGACUUGCUCGCGGGUGAUCCACCGUCCCUCGGGGCGGUCUACUCUCCCGUGAUCAGGCCAACAUCGGUUUCGGUGGCUGGAUACAGGCUCCGGGAAUGUGGCUCCCUCCGGGGAGUGUUAUAGCCCGGGGUGCAAUGCAGCCCGCCGGGACCGAGGACCGCGCUUCGGCUAGGAUGUUGGCGUAAUGGUUGUCAGCGACCCGUCUUGAAACACGGACCAAGGAGUCUAACAUCUAUGCGAGUGUUUGGGUGUCAAACCCAUACGCGUAAUGAAAGUGAACGGAGGUGGGAACCCCUUCCGGGGCGCACCAUCGACCGAUCCUGAUGUCUUCGGAUGGAUUUGAGUAUGAGCAUAGCUGUUGGGACCCGAAAGAUGGUGAACUAUGCCUGAAUAGGGUGAAGCCAGAGGAAACUCUGGUGGAGGCUCGCAGCGGUUCUGACGUGCAAAUCGAUCGUCAAAUUUGGGUAUAGGGGCGAAAGACUAAUCGAACCAUCUAGUAGCUGGUACCGGUCAGUUUCCCCU
rnacentral:rRNA from 1 species